CCAGACUCCUACGGGAGGCAGCAGUCGGGAAUAUUGCGCAAUGGAGGAAACUCUGACGCAGUGACGCCGCGUGCAGGAAGAAGGUUUUCGGAUUGUAAACUGCUUUAGACAGGGAAGAAACAAGACAGUACCUGUAGAAUAAGCUCCGGCUAACUACGUGCCAGCAGCCGCGGUAAUACGUAGGGGGCAAGCGUUAUCCGGAUUCACUGGGCGUAAAGGGUGCGCAGGCGGCGCGGCAAGUCUGAUGUGAAAGCCCGGGGCUCAACCCCGGGUCUGCAUUGGAAACUGUCGAGCUAGAGUGUCGGAGGGGUAAGUGGAAUUCCUAGUGUAGCGGUGAAAUGCGUAGAUAUUAGGAGGAACACCAGUGGCGAAGGCGGCUUACUGGACGAUGACUGACGCUGAGGCUCGAAAGCGUGGGGAGCAAACAGGAUUAGAUACCCUAGUA
rnacentral:rRNA from 1 species